rnacentral:rRNA from 1 species
GACGAACGCUGGCGGCGUGCUUAACACAUGCAAGUCGAACGGAAAGGCCCUGCUUUUGUGGGGUGCUCGAGUGGCGAACGGGUGAGUAACACGUGAGUAACCUGCCCUUGACUUUGGGAUAACUUCAGGAAACUGGGGCUAAUACCGGAUAGGAGCUCCUGCUGCAUGGGGGGGGUUGGAAAGUUUCGGCGGUUGUGGAUGGACUCGCGGCUUAUCAGCUUGUUGGUGGGGUAGUGGCUUACCAAGGCUUUGACGGGUAGCCGGCAUGAGAGGGUGACCGGCCACAAUGGGACUGAGAUACGGCCCAGACGCCUACGGGAGGCAGCAGUGGGGAAUAUGGCACAAUGGGCGGAAGCCUGAUGCAGCAACGCCGCGUGCGGGAUGACGGCCUUCGGGUUGUAAACCGCUUUCGCAUGUGACGAAGCGUGAGUGACGGUAAUGGGUAAAGAAGCACCGGCUAACUACGUG